rnacentral:rRNA from 1 species
UUAUCGCCCAAUCGCCUUGAGUUGAUCAUGGCUCAGGACGAACGCUGGCGGCGUGCUUAACACAUGCAAGUGGAGCGACGAACCAGGGCUUGCCCUGGGGCAGAGCCGCGAACGGGUGAGUAACACGUGGGUAACCUGCCCUGAUGACCGGGACAACCCGAGGAAACUCGGGCUAAUACCGGAUGAGUUCACACCGCACAAGUGGUGUGAGGAAAGGUAGCUUCGGCUUCCGCAUUGGGAUGGGCCCGCGGCCCAUUAGCUUGUUGGUGAGGUAACGGCUCACCAAGGCGACGAUGGGUAGCUGGUCUGAGAGGACGAUCAGCCACACUGGGACUGAGACACGGCCCAGACUCCUACGGGAGGCAGCAGUGGGGAAUCUUGCGCAAUGCGCGAAAGCGUGACGCAGCAACGCCGCGUGCGGGAAGACGGCCUUCGGGUUGUAAACCGCUUUCAGUUGGGACGAAGCCCGUCUGGUGAAUAGCCAGUGCGGGUGACGGUACCUUCAGAAGAAGCCCCGGCUAACUACGUGCCAGCAGCCGCGGUAAUACGUAGGGGGCAAGCGUUGUCCGGAAUCAUCGGGCGUAAAGCGCGUGUAGGCGGCUUGGUAAGUCUGCUCUGAAAGCCCGGGGCUCAACCCUGGGAGGCGGGUGGAUACUGCUGAGCUCGAGUCCGGAAGAGGCGAGUGGAAUUCCUGGUGUAGCGGUGAAAUGCGCAGAUAUCAGGAGGAACACCAAUGGCGAAGGCAGCUCGCUGGGACGGUACUGACGCUG